rnacentral:rRNA from 1 species
UACGAAGGGGGCGAGCGUUGUUCGGAAUCACUGGGCGUAAAGGGCGCGUAGGCGGCUUGUUAAGUCGGGGGUGAAAGCCUGUGGCUCAACCACAGAAUUGCCUUCGAUACUGUCGAGCUUGAGACCGGAAGAGGUAAGUGGAACUGCGAGUGUAGAGGUGAAAUUCGUAGAUAUUCGCAAGAACACCAGUGGCGAAGGCGGCUUACUGGUCCGGUUCUGACGCUGAGGCGCGAAAGCGUGGGGAGCAAACAGG